rnacentral:rRNA from 1 species
UAGCAUAUCAAUAAGCGGAGGAAAAGAAACCAACAGGGAUUGCCCCAGUAACGGCGAGUGAAGCGGCAACAGCUCAAAUUUGAAAUCUGGCCUUGUGCCCGAGUUGUAAUUUGUAGAGGAUGCUUUUGGCGACGCGCCUUCCGAGUUCCCUGGAACGGGACGCCAUAGAGGGUGAGAGCCCCGUCCGGUCGUGCGCCUAGCCUCUGUAAAGCUCCUUCGACGAGUCGAGUAGUUUGGGAAUGCUGCUCUAAAUGGGAGGUAUACGUCUUCUAAAGCUAAAUACCGGCCAGAGACCGAUAGCGCACAAGUAGAGUGAUCGAAAGAUGAAAAGCACUUUGAAAAGAGGGUUAAAUAGUACGUGAAAUUGCUGAAAGGGAAGCGCUUAUGACCAGACUUGGGCGCGGCGGAUCAUCCGGCGUUCUCGCCGGUGCACUCCACCGCCCCAGGCCAGCAUCAGUUCGCGCCGGGGGAUAAAGGCUUCGGGAAUGUGGCUCCUCCGGGAGUGUUAUAGCCCGUUGUGUAAUACCCUGGUGCGGACUGAGGUCCGCGCUCUGCAAGGAUGCUGGCGUAAUGGUCAUCAGUGACCCGUCUUGAAACACGGACCAAGGAGUCGUCUUCGUAUGCGAGUGUUCGGGUGUCAAACCCCUACGCGGAAUGAAAGUGAACGUAGGAGAGAGCUUCGGCGCAUCUCCGACCGAUCCUGAUGUUCUCGGAUGGAUUUGAGUAAGAGCAUACGGGGCCGGACCCGAAAGAAGGUGAACUAUGCCUGUGUAGGGUGAAGCCAGAGGAAACUCUGGUGGAGGCUCGCAGCGGUUCUGACGUGCAAAUCGAUCGUCAAACAUGGGCAUGGGGGCGAAAGACUAAUCGA